rnacentral:lncRNA from 1 species
GUCAUGUCCUAAUUAUUUAUUUAUUUAUUUAUUUAUUCAUUUUUUUCUCACCUCUGUUGGUGGAGGUUGACAUGUUCUUAUAGGUACAGGGAGAAGUGAGACUCACAGGAAUGGAUAAUUUGAGGAAUGAAUUAGGAAUGCUGAAAAUUUUGCUGGGAUGAGAGGCCUGAGAUAUUGUUAUCUUGGAUAUGGAGCACUGUUGCCAUAGGAAGACCUCCAUGAACUUUUGGAUUUAUUUGCCUCCCACGUCAUUCUGGUGCUAUUUAUUGGGCUUGUGAUGCUGAAGAAAGUGAUCUGAUUUUCCUGGAUCUGUAUGAAUAAUGUUAUAGGAGAAAUCCUUCACAUGCAAUCAACCUCCUUUUAAAGUCUCACAUGUGAUCUGUGCCUUAGAGAGAUGCUGAAAUGGACAUGGAGUUUUUAACACCUCUGUAUCGCCUAGAUUCUGGAGUUACUUUUUUUGUGGUUUUUAUACACACAAGAUAUUAAUCCCAACGCUUUCAAAGAAAAAUAGAAAAUAAAGAUUUUAAGAAGAAAAAAUUUGCA